rnacentral:rRNA from 1 species
AAUCUAUGUAUAAGAGGUCCUACCUGCCCAGUGACUAAGUUAAACGGCCGCGGUAUUUUGACCGUGCAAAGGUAGCGCAAUCACUUGUUUUUUAAAUAAAGACCUGUAUGAAUGGUGAAACGAGGGCUUAACUGUCUCCCUUUUCUAAUCAGUGAAAUUGAUCUACCCGUGCAGAAGCGGGUAUAAAUAUACAAGACGAGAAGACCCUAUGGAGCUUUAGACACAAAAUCAACUAUGUUAAAAACCCCUAACUUAAAGGAAUAAAACAAAAUAGCUACUGAUUGACGUCUUCGGUUGGGGCGACCAUGGGAGAAAAAAAAUCCCCCAUGCGGAACGGGAAAUUUCCUAAAACCACGAGGCACACCUCUAAGGCACAGAACUUCUGACCAAAAGAUCCGGCUUCUUAGCCGAUCAACGAACCAAGUUACCCUAGGGAUAACAGCGCAAUCCCCUCCAAGAGUCCAUAUCGACAAGGGGGUUUACGACCUCGAUGUUGGAUCAGGACAUCCUAAUGGUGCAGCCGCUAUUAAGGGUUCGUUUGUUCAACGAUUAAAGUC